rnacentral:rRNA from 1 species
GACAGAGGGUGCAAGCGUUGUUCGGAAUUACUGGGCGUAAGGCGUGUGUAGGCGGUCUGCUAAGUCGGGUGUGAAAGCCCUGGGCUCAACCCAGGAAGUGCACUCGAAACUGGCAGGCUAGAGUACUGGAGAGGUUGGUGGAAUUCUCGGUGUAGAGGUGAAAUUCGUAGAUAUCGAGAGGAACACCGGUGGCGAAGGCGGCCAACUGGACAGAUACUGACGCUGAGACACGAAAGCGUGGGGAGCAAACAGG